rnacentral:rRNA from 1 species
GUGUCAGCCGCCGCGGUAAGACAGAGGGGGCAAGCGUUGCUCGGAAUUACUGGGCGUAAAGGGCGUGUAGGCGGGAUGGCAAGUCGGUCGUGAAAUCCUUCGGCUCAACCGAAGAACGUCGAUCGAUACUGCUGUUCUUGAGGGUUGCAGAGGAGACUGGAAUUCCCGGUGUAGCGGUGAAAUGUGUAGAGAUCGGGAGGAACACCGGUGGCGAAGGCGGGUCUCUGGGCAAUUCCUGACGCUGAGGCGCGAAAGCGUGGGGAGCAAACGGGAUUAGAUACCCCGGUAGUCCACGCUGUAAACGAUGACGACUAGGUGUGGGGGGUUCAGUCCCCUCCGUGCCGCCGCUAACGCAUUAAGUCGUCCGCCUGGGGAGUACGGCCGCAAGGUUGAAACUCAAAGGAAUUGGCGGGG